rnacentral:rRNA from 1 species
AGUACAAAACCAAUCGGGCGUUGGCUCUUAGCCUUCGUCCGCCAAAGGUUGGUGAAUCGGAAUAACUAUGCUGAUCGCACGGUCCAGCACCGGCGACGAAUCUUUGAAAUGACUUGCUCAUCAACUUUCGAUGGUACGCUACGUGCUUACCAUGGUGACAACGGUUAACGGAGAAUCAGGGUUCGACUCCGGAGAGGGAGCCUGAGAAACGGCUACCACAUCCAAGGAAGGCAGCAGGCACGCAAAUUACCCACUCCCGGAUCGGGGAGGUAGUGACGAAAAAUAACGGAACGUAUCUCCAUGAGACGCGUUACCGGAACGACCGAGCCGUACAUAAGCUCGGCUAAAUCUAUUGGAGGGCAAGUCUGGUGCCAGCAGCCGCGGUAAUUCCAGCUCCAAUAGCGUAUAUUAAAGUUGCUGCGGUUAAACCGCUCGUAGUUGGAUUGCGGUCGACGACGACGGUCGUCCUAAGCAGGAGUCGUUCCGUCGCUCGUCACCUGUUUGAUCAAGAUCGUCCCUGGAUGCUCUUCCGGUGAGUGUCCUUUGGCGACUUUGAACGUUUACUUUUGAGAAAAUGGGGAGGGCUCAAGGGCAGGGCCGUAGAAGCUUUGAACAGUGGGUGCAUGGGAAUAAAUGAAAAGAUGGGCCUCGGGUGCUAUUUUUGUUUGGUUUUACGGGCAAUGGAGGGCAAUGGAUUUAAAAAGAAGACAAGACGGGGGAACAUUUCCGUAAUUGGCUUGCCGUUAAGAGG